rnacentral:tRNA from 1 species
GCGAGAGUAGUUCAGUGGCAGAAUAUCGGCUUCCCAAGCCGAGGGUCGCGGGUUCGAAUCCCGUCUCUCGCUCCA